rnacentral:rRNA from 1 species
CUGCUCAAUGAAAUUUUAAAUAGCUGCAGUAUUUUUAACUGUACAAAGGUAGCAUAAUAAUUAGGUUAUUAAUUAUAAUCUAGAAUGAAUGAUUUAAUGAAAUAAUUACUGUCUCAAAUUAAUUAUAUAAAUUUUUUUUUUAAGUAAAAAAACUUAAAUAAAAUUAAAAGACGAGAAGACCCUUUAGAAUUUUAUAAUUUUUUUUUUAAUAUUUAAAUUAAACUAAAAAUUAUUUAACUGGGGAGAUUGUAAAAUUUAAUUAACUUUUACUUAUUAACACAAAAAUUUUUGAAUCUAUUAUAAUUUAUAAAAAAAUAAAAAUAAAUUACCUAAGGGAUAACAGCAUAAUUUUUUUUUUAAGUACAAAUUUAUAAAAAAGUUUAUGACCUCGAUGUUGAAUUAAGAUAAUUUAAGAAGAAAAAAUCUUAAAAUUUAAGUCUGUUCGACU